UACAGAGGAGCCAAGCGUUGUCCGGAAUUAUUGGGCGUAAAGAGCUCGUAGGCGGCCUGUCGCGUCGGCUGUGAAAACUCAGGGCUCAACCCUGAGCGUGCUUCCGAUACGGGCAGACUAGAGGUAUGCAGGGGAGAACGGAAUUCCUGGUGGUAGCGGUGGAAUGCGCAGGAUAUCAGGAGGAACACCGGUGGCGAAGGCGGCAUCCUGGACCGGUAUUGACGCUGAGGCGCGAAAGCCAGGGGAGCAAACGGG
rnacentral:rRNA from 1 species